rnacentral:rRNA from 1 species
GACGAACGCUGGCGGCGUGCCUAACACAUGCAAGUCGAGCGAAUGAAGUUCCUUCGGGAACGGAUUUAGCGGCGGACGGGUGAGUAACACGUGGGCAACCUGCCUCAUAGAGGGGAAUAGCCUUCCGAAAGGGAGAUUAAUACCGCAUAAGAUUGUAGUACCGCAUGGUACAGCAAUUAAAGGAGCAAUCCGCUAUGAGAUGGGCCCGCGGCGCAUUAGCUAGUUGGUGAGGUAACGGCUUACCAAGGCGACGAUGCGUAGCCGACCUGGGAGGGUGAUCGGCCACAUUGGGACUGAGACACGGCCCAGACUCCUACGGGAGGCAGCAGUGGGGAAUAUUGCACAAUGGGGGAAACCCUGAUGCAGCAACGCCGCGUGAGUGAUGACGGCCUUCGGGUUGUAAAGCUCUGUCUUCAGGGGCGAUAAUGACGGUACCCGAGGAGGAAGCCACGGCUAACUACGUGCCAGCCGCCGCCGUAA